UAAACUGUCAUGGAGCUGGUAGGAGUGUC
rnacentral:piRNA from 1 species